CGAUACAAGGGUGGCGAUACGAUACGUAUUUUGAUACUAAAAAUUUUAAUUCUAACACCAACUAUAAAACACCUUAAGAUCAAAACAAAAUCAUUUAAAAAAGAUUUCGUCAAAUUCCACAAGCUUGUAUGGAAAUUAUUAA